CCUACGGGAGGCAGCAGUGAGGAAUAUUGGUCAAUGGACGAGAGUCUGAACCAGCCAAGUAGCGUGAAGGAUGACUGCCCUAUGGGUUGUAAACUUCUUUUAUAUGGGAAUAAAAUGUUCCACGUGUGGGAUUUUGUAUGUACCAUAUGAAUAAGGAUCGGCUAACUCCGUGCCAGCAGCCGCGGUAAUACGGAGGAUCCGAGCGUUAUCCGGAUUUAUUGGGUUUAAAGGGAGCGUAGGUGGAUUGUUAAGUCAGUUGUGAAAGUUUGCGGCUCAACCGUAAAAUUGCAGUUGAAACUGGCAGUCUUGAGUACAGUAGAGGUGGGCGGAAUUCGUGGUGUAGCGGUGAAAUGCUUAGAUAUCACGAAGAACUCCGAUUGCGAAGGCAGCUCACUGGACUGUGACUGACGUUGAGGCCCGAAGGCGUGGGGAGCAAACAGGAUUAGAUACCCCAGUAGUC
rnacentral:rRNA from 1 species